CUACGGGUCGCUGCAGUGGGGAAUAUUGGACAAUGGGGGCAACCCUGAUCCAGCAAUACCGCGUGUGUGAAGAAGGCCUGCGGGUUGUAAAGCACUUUCGGUUGGGAGGACUGCUUCUAGCACUAAUAUUGUUGGAAGUUGACGUUACCUUCAGAAGAAGCACCGGCUAACUCCGUGCCAGCAGCCGCGGUAAUACGGAGGGUGCAAGCGUUAAUCGGAAUUACUGGGCGUAAAGCGCGCGUAGGCGGCUAGAUCAGUCGGGUGUGAAAGCCCCGGGCUUAACCUGGGAACUGCAUCCGAUACUGUCUAGCUUGAGUACAGGAGAGGAGAGUGGAAUUCCACAUGUAGCAGUGAAAUGCGUAGAUAUGUGGAGGAACACCAAUGGCGAAGGCAGCUCUCUGGCCUGAUACUGACGCUGAGGUGCGAAAGCGCGGGGAGCAAACAGGAUUAGAUACCCUUGUAGUC
rnacentral:rRNA from 1 species